CACAUGCAAGUCGAGCGGGCGAGGUUGCUUCGGUAACUGAGCUAGCGGCGGACGGGUGAGUAAUGCUUAGGAAUCUGCCUAUUAGUGGGGGACAACAUUCCGAAAGGAAUGCUAAUACCGCAUACGCCCUACGGGGGAAAGCAGGGGAUCUUCGGACCUUGCGCUAAUAGAUGAGCCUAAGUCAGAUUAGCUAGUUGGUGGGGUAAAGGCCUACCAAGGCGACGAUCUGUAGCGGGUCUGAGAGGAUGAUCCGCCACACUGGGACUGAGACACGGCCCAGACUCCUACGGGAGGCAGCAGUGGGGAAUAUUGGACAAUGGGCGCAAGCCUGAUCCAGCCAUGCCGCGUGUGUGAAGAAGGCCUUUUGGUUGUAAAGCACUUUAAGCGAGGAGGAGGCUACUUGGAUUAAUACUCUAGGAUAGUGGACGUUACUCGCAGAAUAAGCACCGGCUAACUCUGUGCCAGCAGCCGCGGUAAUACAGAGGGUGCGAGCGUUAAUCGGAUUUACUGGGCGUAAGGCGUGCGUAGGCGGCUUCUUAAGUCGGAUGUGAAAUCCCUGAGCUUAACUUAGGAAUUGCAUUCGAUACUGGGAAGCUAGAGUAUGGGAGAGGAUGGUAGAAUUCCAGGUGUAGCGGUG
rnacentral:rRNA from 1 species